CCCCUAGACGUUCUGGGCUGCACGCGCGCUACAAUAAUACGCACAGCGAGUAUCACCGAGCUCGAAAGGGCAAGGUAAACAAUAGAAAAGGUACUGUAAUGGUUAUAGAUCCUUGUAAUUAUUGAUCUUCAACGAGGAAUUCCUAGUAAGUAUGUGUCAUCAUCACGCACUGAUUACGUCCCUGCCCUUUGUACACACCGCCCGUCGCUCCUACCGAUUGGGUGAGCCGGUGAAACUCUCGGAUGUAGGCUAUUCAUAGCCCGCAGAAGAGAUUUGAAUCGUAGCGCUUAGAGGAAGGAGAAGUCGUAACA
rnacentral:rRNA from 1 species